UCUCCGUUGGUGAACCAGCGGAGGGAUCAUUACAGGACGUCAUACUCCCGUAAUACCACUGUGAAUCUUACCUUCCGUCGUUGCCUCGGCGGGCGCCUCACCCGCUUGCGGGGGAGGGCCCACGUCCGCCGGCGGCCCGCAUACUCUUGUUUUCGUAUUAGCAUCUCCGAGUAUUAUACAAACGAGUCAAAACUUUCAACAACGGAUCUCUUGGUUCUG
rnacentral:misc_RNA from 1 species